rnacentral:rRNA from 1 species
AUGAGCACAUCAUAUCAUCCUGAAACAGAUGGACAGACAGAACGUGUUAAUCAACAAGUGGAAUGUUUUUUGAGGUAUUUCAUCAGUGCUCAUCCAAACAAGUGGGCAAAGUGGCUUUCACUUUGUGAGUUUUGGUACAAUACCAACUGGCAUUCAGCACUUAACAAAUCGCCGUUUGAGGUUCUUUAUGGUCAUGGUCCUCGGCAUUUUGGGAUUUCGACUUCAGACUCAAUUGAUCCUGUUGAUUUGCAGCAGUGGUUGGAUGCUCGAGCAGUGGUUCAGCAAUCAGUGCGCCAGCAUUUGUUGCGUGUUCAGCAAAGGAUGAAACAUCAGGCUGACAAGAAACGCACUGAAAGAACAUCUGCUGUGGGAGAUCGAGUAUUUCUUAAACUCCAGCCGUAUGUACAAUCAUCAGUGGUGCACAGGGCAAAUCAUAAACUUGCUUUCAAGUAUUUUGGUCCGUUUCUGAUUCCGGAGAAGAUUGGCGAAGUGGCUUAUCGCUUACAGUUGCCAGCAGCUAGUCGUAUUCAUCCUGUAUUCCAUGUUUCACAGUUGAAGCGUUGUGUGCAUCCACAACAUGAGGUACUCAAGUCGCUUCCUUCUGUUGAUGCUCAUCUUCAGUUCCCUGUUAAGAUACUGCAGGAGCGCCUUCGCCGCGCCGACAACCGAUCGUUGGCACAAGUCCUAGUUCAGUGGAGUGGAGGGGAUGCUUCUUCGGCAACCUGGGAGGAUAAGGAUUCACUUCGUCAGUUGUUUCCUCGUGCCCCGGCUUGGGGACAAGCCGGUUCUGAAGAAGGGGGGAAUGUCAGCGAUCAUGGUACUGGAACAGAGCAAGCGGGAGCGCGCGAGGCCAAGGAUUCGACUCGUGGGCCGGCUACUCGGCCCACUCGCGACCGGCAACUUCCCCAGUGGCUUGCAGGCCCGAACUGGGCCCGUUAA